UAGGGAAUCUUCCGCAAUGGACGCAAGUCUGACGGAGCAACGCCGCGUGAGUGAAGAAGGAUUUCGGUUCGUAAAACUCCGUUGUUAGAGAAGAACAGCGCAUAGAGUAACUGUUAUGCGUGUGACGGUAUCUAACCAGAAAGCCACGGCUAACUACGUUCCAGCAGCCGCGGUAAUACGUAGGUGGCAAGCGUUGUCCGGAUUUAUUGGGAGUAAAGCGGGCGCAGGCGGUCAAUUAAGUCUGAUGUGAAAACCCCCGGCUCAACCGGGGAAGGUCAUUGGAAACUGGUUGGCUUGAGUGCAGAAGAGGGGAGUGGAAUUCCAGGUGUAGCGGUGAAAUGCGUAGAUAUAUGGAGGAACCCCAGUGGCGAAGGCGACUCUUUGGUCUGUAACUGACGCUGAGGCUCGAAAGCGUGGGUAGCAAACAGG
rnacentral:rRNA from 1 species